GAUGAACGCUGGCGGCGUGCCUAAUACAUGCAAGUCGAGCGAACGGACGAGAAGCUUGCUUCUCUGAUGUUAGCGGCGGACGGGUGAGUAACACGUGGAUAACCUACCUAUAAGACUGGGAUAACUUCGGGAAACCGGAGCUAAUACCGGAUAAUAUUUUGAACCGCAUGGUUCAAAAGUGAAAGACGGUCUUGCUGUCACUUAUAGAUGGAUCCGCGCUGCAUUAGCUAGUUGGUAAGUUAACGGCUUACCAAGGCAACGAUGCAUAGCCGACCUGAGAGCGGGGUGGGGCACUGAGAGGCUGACAUGCGGACCAGGCUCCUGCGGGAGGCAGCAGCACCUACUGUGGCGAGAAGGGCGAAAGCCUGAACGAGCCACGGAGCGGGGAUGAUGCAGGUCUUCGGUUCGUAAAACUCUGUUAUGAGGGAAGAACAUAUGUGCCAGUAACUGUGCGCAACUUGACGGAACAGAAUCAGAAGGACCCGCUUACCUCCGU
rnacentral:rRNA from 1 species